AAGUCACAGCUGAAACUGUGACACAGAAGCUGAAAGCUGAAUUGGGAGCGCUUUCUCAGUUCCUCUGGUGCUGUUGAAUGAAGCUCCAGUUUGUUUCUCGGAACCAGAAGGAUCCCCCUUAUCCUAGGAUCGACAGGAAACUGAGACCUGGGGCUGUUGCCAGGCCUGUGGUCUCCUGAGCCUUCCGGACUGUGACUUACACCGAAUAGGCAAGUUCUGAACUUUCCCCUGUGCCAGGAAGUCCCCCAAUCAGGCCUGGCCUUGCGCACCACCUGCCCCCCAUAUGUCUUUAGAAUUAGGACUGCUGAUCUAUCUGUUCCCUUCAAGGUAUCAGGAGAAAGGGAUUUAGACCUAUCAAAGCAUCCAUGACCUUGAAUCUCAUUGUCAUGAGGGCCCCUUGCCUCAGUCUCUUUCAGCUUGUCACAGCUUCCCUGUGACUCAAGAUGACAGGGAGACAUGAGGGAUGAGGCAACUUUACAGAGACCCAGGCCUCACCCCCUGGGAGUCCAGUUCAGUCAGAAUGGGUCGAGGCUCGUAGAUGGCAUGCCUUAAAGCUACUGAGUUUGAACAUAACGUGUGACCCGGGUUCUGAAUACCAUUUCUUCUUGACCUGGGCACCUCAGGAAUGGAAACACACAGCUUCCCUCCCAGUCCCCUGUGUUUUCGCCUCUGUCGUGGGAUAGACCCCAACCCUUUGGGGAAUUAGAGAGGACACCCACUCCCGUCUCUCCUGUCACCUCUUUGUCAAGUCACAGAACCCUAAGAAACCAGAAGCUCCUCAUGCCCUGUUAGAAUGGCGUCCCCAGCCAUUUCAAAUCCACAGUCUGCUCUAACCCAAAGUUGGCUCACACAGUCACACUUCUCUUCCUGGGCUGAUACAUAGGCCUCCCAAUAUCAGAACCAAUUGGGGAUUUGUACUCAAAUAAAUGACGAGAAGAACAGGCAACCAACUAUGUCUUCCACGAAGAGUGGGUGUAUUGUUAAGACCUUGCUUAAUCCUCAGAUGAUCUUUUUUCGUUUGUUUGGUUGGUUGAUUUUUUGAGACAGGGUUUCUCUGUGUAGUUUUGGUGCCUGUCCUGGAUCUCACUCUGUAGACCAGGCUGGCCUCAAACUCACAGAGAUUCACCUGGCUCUGCCUCCCAAGUGCUGGGAUUAAAGGUGUGCGCCACACCACCCAGCCAGAUGAACUUACUUUAUAUAAUUUAUUUUAUGUGCAUUGGUGUGAGGGUGUCAGAUUCUCUGGAACUAGAGUUACAAACAGUUGUGAGCCAUGUGAGUGCUGGGAAUUGAACCUGGGUCCUCUGGAAGAACAGCCAGUGCUCUUAACCACUGAGCCAUCUCUCCAGCUCCUGUCAGAAGAACUUCUUAUAUCACCAUUCAGGCGGUAGCUAUCUCUUUUCAUUCUCCAAUGCUGGAGAAGUGGAUUUCAGAGCAAUAUGCCAUACUCCCAAAGAGCAUGUGAGCAGCUAUUUCUAGAAAAGGAGACAGCUGUGGAUUCUAGCCAUUCUUUUCAUAGACUCCCCUGGUCCUAUGCCUCUCAUGAUGGUUACACUGGCCUAAGACAGGUCUCUAUCCAAACACCUCUUCCAGGCAAUAGGUGUUCAAGAGGAAGAACAAGACAUAGAAGAAGGUCCUGCUCAGGGACAGCCAGCAUUUCACUGCAAGAGGACAAACAGUGAGGUAAGCAUAUGGCCACGGGGCUGGCAUCCGGUCCCUGAAGGUAAGAGUCAAGUUGUAGGAAGCCCCGAGGCUCAGCAGAAUGAGGGGUUUGUGAGGUGACGCUCUGGGGAAGAUGAGACACAAAGACUGAGAGAGACUUGGAGAUAAUGUUCUAGGGGACUGUUGUAGGGAGGAAAUGGGGGGGAGGGGGGAGAAGCAAAGGAAACCUGGGUCUUGCUGUGUGUCUGAAGGCAAGCAGCAGCAGCAGGCAGCGAUGACGGGCGGGGCGGGACCAAUGGGGAAGGGGGAAGAGGGUUUCCCUCAUGCUGGGUGUGUGAGGGCCAUGUGGGGCUGCUGCAGCUCUGGGCAGUUUCCAACUCUGCAGCUGGUAUCCCAGGCUGGGCAGUGAGAACAGACUGGAGUUGGGGGGUGGGGAUGAGGAUGAAGAACAAAACUUGGUGCUGUUCACCAUGAUUAAUUAACCCAGCGCCAGAACCCCCAAGGCACGGUGCUAAAAAUACCUGCUUCCCUCUGAGAUGCGGCAGCUGCCACCCAGCAACUUUUAGCCAUGCCAUUUGUCAUAAUUUGACACUGCUAAGGAGUGUCCACAGGGCUGUGUUUCUGCAAGAAUCGGACUCGUCCAGAGCCCACCAGCCAGCUGGUCCUUAGAACCCGCCCAUGGUACAUUUCUACAGUCUCUUUUUGUGUCUCAGAGCCCUGCCUGAGCUGCAUCUGGAUGUGACUGGCACCUGCCUGAAGCUUGCCUCCUCCCAGAAGGGAAAAGACCUGCCUCCAGAGGUGUGAGCCAAUGCAUUCGCCAGUGCAUCCUCGGAUGCCAUGUUUCACACCACCGCCGCCCUGCACCUCGGAUUGCAGCCAUCUAUCAGAGGCCCUGCCAGCCCAGGGCGGCACUUUAAUUAAAAUAUGUAAAACAUG